UCUUGCACAAUGGGGGAAACCCUGAUGCAGCGACGCCGCGUGGAGGAUGACGGAUUUAGGUCUGUAAACUCCUUUUGUUGGGAAAGACUUAGGACGGUACCCAACGAAUAAGCUCCGGCUAACUACGUGCCAGCAGCCGCGGUAAGACGUAGGGAGCAAGCGUUGUCCGGAUUUACUGGGCGUAAAGAGCGCGUAGGCGGCUCGUUAAGUGUGAAGUGAAAUCUCCAGGGCUCAACCCGGAAACUGCUUUACAUACUGGCGAGCUUGAGGGAUGCAGAGGUGACUGGAAUUCCUGGUGUACCGGUGAUAUGGGUAGAUAUCAGGAGGAACGUCAAGGCGAAGGCAGGUCACUGGGCAUCUCUGACGCGAGGCGCGAAA
rnacentral:rRNA from 1 species